rnacentral:rRNA from 1 species
UACAGAGGUGGCAAGCGUUGUUCGGAAUUACUGGGCGUAAAGGGCGCGUAGGCGGCCAUCUAAGUCAGACGUGAAAUCCCCCGGCUUAACCUGGGAACUGCGUCUGAUACUGGAAGGCUUGAGUAUGGGAGAGGGAUGUAGAAUUCCAGGUGUAGCGGUGAAAUGCGUAGAUAUCUGGAGGAAUACCGGUGGCGAAGGCGGCAUCCUGGACCAUACUGACGCUGAGGCGCGAAAGCUAGGGGAGCAAACGGG